rnacentral:rRNA from 1 species
CUGCGCGCUUAUACUGCAAGUCGAGGGGCAGCAGACCAUUUCGGUGGUGCUGGCGACCGGCGCACGGGUGCGUAACGCGUAUGCAAUCUACCUUCAACUAAGGGAUAGCCCCGAGAAAUCGGGAUUAAUACCUUAUAAUAUAUAUUUACCGCAUGGCAGAUAUAUUAAAGCUCCGGCGGUUGAAGAUGAGCAUGCGUGACAUUAGUUAGUUGGUGAGGUAACGGCUCACCAAGACAUCGAUGUCUAGGGGUCCUGAGAGGGUUACCCCCCACACUGGUACUGAGACACGGACCAGACUCCUACGGGAGGCAGCAGUAAGGAAUAUUGGGCAAUGGACGCAAGUCUGACCCAGCCAUGCCGCGUGCAGGAUUGAAGGCCCUAUGGGUUGUAAACUGCUUUUAUAUGCCAAGAACCCCCCGAACGUGUUCGGGGCUGACGGUAGCAUACGAAUAAGCACCGGCUAACUCCGUGCCAGCAGCCGCGGUAAUACGGAGGGUGCAAGCGUUAUCCGGAUUUAUUGGGUUUAAAGGGUGCGCAGGCGGAAUGAUUAGUCAGUGGUGAAAUCCUACAGCUCAACUGUAGAACUGCCAUUGAUACUGUCAU